UACAGAGGUCUCAAGCGUUGUUCGGAUUCAUUGGGCGUAAAGGGUGCGUAGGCGGCGCGGUAAGUCGGGUGUGAAAUCCCUGGGCUCAACCCGGGAAUUGCAUUCGAAACUGCAGAUCUUGAAUGCUCGAGAGGAUGGUGGAAUUCCAGGAGUAGUAGUGAAAUACGUAGAUAUCUGGAGGAACACCGGAGGCGAAGGCGGCCAUCUGGCGAGACAUUGACGCUGAGGCGCGAAAGCAUGGGGAGCAAACAGG
rnacentral:rRNA from 1 species